AUUGGCACCAGGCUGAAUACAAUGAAUCAGCUGUGCACUGAUUACUGGGCAGCGCGUUCAGCGCUAUAUAUAGGCAGGUGACUGUUCCUCGGAUGGAAGUUUCUGCCUCUUUCUGGAGCCUGAUUUCCAUGCGGCUGGAGUGUGCACAGUUUGGCGUACUGUGAUUGAGCUUUGGCUUUGUGGCUUUCCCCCUCCAGCUGCUGGGAAGUUGCACCUUCACUCUCUUUGGAGCUGUUGGGCCUAAGCUUAUGGCAGUCUGAUUCCCCGGUGAUGGUGUCCCUUCACUGAUCCCUUACAGUAUAGCACCUGGGUAUCAUUUGGACAGUGUGGUGUAAGCCCCAGCCCUGCUCCUAGCAUCUUUUAAUAGCAAACGAAUGGGCCAAUAGGGAUUGUGCAAUAUUUGUUGAGGUUAUACUUUCUAUUUUGAGAUUUGGGUUGACCUGUUGUCAUUUUAGCAAAAGCAAUAGUAUUAAUAAUGUUACUGUUCACGUUUUUCUGGAAUCACAGUGGUGCUGUUGA